CGCAUGGACGUGAUGUCCCCGCAACAGGAGCACCUCGGGCCCGGCCGCUCAUCCUCGGUGAGCGGCGAGAGCAGAGUGUUCGCCGCCGCCGACAGCAAGAAGAGGAGACUGGCUGCCAAACACACUGGGAGGAUUAGGACGUGGCCAGGUUAUGGUGUCCUUUAUUAAAGCUGUCCACUUGAUGCAUGGUAGAUUGUGCCCAGCCCUGCUGCAAGCGAUGGCUGGGGCUUUGUGGCUGAGGGAGCCCCACUUCCACUCCUCCUCCAGAGCAUCUCUUUGGGCUGGAGCGUAUGUCCCUGGGAUGUGUCCCUGUGUAUCUCAUCCUACCAAGGCGUGCACCUGACUGCAGCCCCAGGGACAUCUCAGGGCACAAGUAGAGUGUGAAAUGGCUGCUUGGGGAGUGCUUGGCCUGACUUCUGCCUACACCUCGAUUCGAUAAGUUUCUGAAGAAGGAGUGCAAUACACCUACAUGAAGGGGUGGAGUGUCUUCUGCUGGACAAAUGGAUGGAGUGAACGCUUGCCCUCCCCAGUACUACUGUGUAAUGUGAGGCAGCUAAACGUGUGGCUUUGAUUGUUCUCCUACUGCUUCUCUGAUUUUUACUGAAGACACCUUGCUGCCCCGAUGCCAGACAUCACCUGAAAUGAGAAGAGAUGCUCAAGUGCUGCGAAGAUGAACACUGCUUUCCUACAAAUUCUUUAUGAUUCAGCUUACUGAAGACAAGAACUGAAGGCAGCACUCGUGCUUCCUGUUCCUGCUCCCAUUGAAGGAACGCAGACCUUGUUUUUGCCAGCGCUGAGAAAGGAGCGGGGAUGUUACUUUUUACAGAUCUUGGCAGCUCUCUUGGAAUUCCUCAGCAUGCAGGCACAGACAGUGGGGGUACAUAGGGAAUCCUCCAGCAGCUGCAAGCAUCAGUCCAGCCCCUGUGCUCCUCCACAGUCCCAGUGCUCCCUGGAGUUUCCUUACAGGCUUCCUCUCUGGCUGGGGAAGGUUCACGCCUGCUCAAUACUGGGCUAGUCCUAAAUCUGCUUGAAGCAGGAUCUCAAUGGCAGUUCAAAUUAUUUUUUGUUCCUUAUGUGCUAUGGACUCUCUGAAUACCUCUGUUUUGAGCUCCACACAGUGCUAAGGCACAGCACUUUUUGACAAAGCAGGAAGGCUUUGUUAUUACAGAACAUACUGCGCUGCUUGUAGCAGUUGUAUGCAGUUGUGUGUAAGAGCGUGCUGACAAGAGACCAGCUUUGAUACUGGUGACACAGCAAGGCAAGUUUAAAGAUAUUGUUGCAAAUGCGUAUUUAACAUUCACACUGCCUGUGAGUCUCUGUGCUCUUUACUGAGAUCCUGGCCAACAAUUUGGGGGGCUGCAGUCAGAAUCACACCACAUAGCGCCAGAAAUCUCAGCUCACCAGGAACACUUCUGUGACAAAAAAUGCCCCCUAACAUGGAAUGUUGAGCCACCAAUGAGCGUUUUUAUUUUAUUAUUUCAAUUACACCGUUCCCAAGUCAAAUGUAUUUUGCUGAGAUUUCCUGUGUUGUUCUGUGAUUGUUUGAAUUCCUAUUUUAUUUUCCACUUGGCUGUCACAACAAAGCUGAAGGAUCACAUCAUAGGACCGGGAGGUAGAAGUUGUCUAGGACUCAAUCCGUGUGCUUUGUGGGACCACUUAAACUACUGUCUUGCAAACACUUCCUCUCCUUUAUGUGUAAAGCAAUCUGAAAUGCUAGCACACAUCACAAAUACUGGGAGCUUCUCCCUAUUAAAUGCUUGUCAGGCAUUCAAGACACCCUUCUGGAAGGUGACACUGAAGCACAGUGUUUCAGUUGAUCCUUUUGGAAAAUUCUGGGUCAGGUUCCUUCCUUUACUGGACUUAACUGGAGUCACUGGACAGUGGUUGACUGACCUGCAGAGAAGUUUUUGUACUGACUGUUUAGUAACCAAUACCAGUAAAUUGAUGCAACUCUGAAGUGGGCUGAAGUAAGAUGAGUAAAAGUGAUUUUACUGAUGGAGCUUAUUUGUACAAAUUUAUCAAAACAAACGAUUCAGCAUGUCUUCUGUGCCAGUGUAUCUGUGUCAGCAGGAACAGCUGUGGUCAUUUAAUUGUAUUUAUAAGUUUCUGGUGUUUCACUUCUCCCUUCUUAGAGGAGUUAGAUUCCAACCAGUGCUGAAUAUUUUACACAAGACAAUCUUUG
ensembl:lncRNA